UUUUAUCAGAGAGUUUGAUCCUGGCUCAGGAUGAACGCUGGCGGCGUGCUUAACACAUGCAAGUCGAACGGGAAUUAUUUUAUUGAAACUUCGGUCGAUAUGAUUUAAUUCUAGUGGCGGACGGGUGAGUAACGCGUGGGUAACCUGCCUUAUACAGGGGGAUAACAGUCAGAAAUGGCUGCUAAUACCGCAUAAGCGCACAGGACCGCAUGGUCUGGUGUGAAAAACUCCGGUGGUAUAAGAUGGACCCGCGUUGGAUUAGCUUGUUGGCA
rnacentral:rRNA from 1 species